UGUGUCUUCUGUGUUCUCAAUCUGACAAACUGGUACUGACCGACUGUCAGGCUGACUUGAAUAUAAACAAUGACAAAUGGGUGGGCACACUGUUCUUCUCUGCAUUCAAGGAAUCCAGGACAGUAUCAGGGAGCAAUUCCAACACAAUUUACUGGGCAUGAACAUUAGACUGCCAGAACCAGGCCAGAGCCCCUGCCUUCCCAACACAACAACUCUGGUCAACUAAUGCACAGGGGAGGAGAAGACAUCAGGGACGGCUUUGCUUUCAGUGCUGUUUGUCCUCUCAGCUGCCUCCCUGCCAGCCAGCGCUGCCUCUUCCACUCCCCUACUCCUCCUGCUAUUCUGGCCAAGCUACGCCACAACUGUACCACAUGCCAUGUCUGCUUGAUGUGUGAACAAAGCUCGGAGGGACUGAGGCAAAAAUGGACCUGUUAAGUGAGUCGGACCCAGUCAGGCGGGACGGCUGGAAAUGUCUUCCCCUUUGAUUCCCUCGGGAACAGAGACGAAAAACAAAUGGAGUCUGACUCCCUUAUUUUCUCAAGGUCCUGGAAGUGACCUGCCGCCGCUGCAGAACACGAGCGGGAGGCCUGAUGUUUGCCGCCUGGCCGCCGAGCUGUCCAGCGGUCUGUCAGCCCGCCACAAUUGAAAGGACCCCUCAACCCUCCUCCUUCCUCAUCCCCAUUCAAUCCCAGCCACAGACCACAGCACAGCCUGCUCCGUGGCACUGCUGACAACUCAGUCAGCCUUCUCACACAGUGAUGACCCAGUGAGUAAUUGGUCGAUAGAAGUCGGCAGACAUCGACUCGUGUGGCUUUGCAGGUGGUGAUGACUCAUUGUGUGUUUGCCCUCACUCUCAGUGCUGUGGACAUACAUGCCUGCUCCAAGAAAAAUACAGGAUCCUGAGGGAUAUUCUCAGAGAAGUAAAAAUAGCCAAUGAAUAAUUAAUGCAACAAUAAUGGCACACAUGCACUCACAUUAAUCUAAUCAUUCCGCAGCGGGAAUGUGUACAUAAUAAGGAUAUUAUCUGUCUGCAGUGUGGCUGCCAGCAGGCUCAGCUUAUUUGGCUGGCAGCUAACAGAGGAGUUUGGCCACCAGUUAUCACACCGCUGCAUCUUAGCAACUUAGCUAAUACUGGCAGACGAAUACAGGAUUUCCAUCUUAACACACCAUUGCAUUAAGUCCGAAUUCAGCAUUGUGUUAAUGAUUUUGAUUCUGAUCCAGAUCCUAAGAGAGACAAAGAAAGAAGCGGGGAGAGAGGGAGGGAGGGGGAGUUACAGGUAGCAGUUAAAACAUGUUUUUUCUGCACAACACACAUGUUGCUCCUCUGUUCUGCGCUAUUUAUUACAUACCAGAUUAGAGAGUGAGACACAAUAUUAGGUGCAUUGUCAAUACUAAGAAUAUUGAUUUCAAACACACUCAGUGUUUCAUCAAUCCAAUAUCCUGAUUCACAGGCAGGGCCUAAGUGUCAUAAUUGGCACAAACUGGUUGUAUAAGUUAUUGAACGCAUGAGAUGACAGGGACAGGUGGUUUGUCAGCCCUUUGUCACAAAUUCUUGCAGCUCAUAACCUUCUAUGCAGUUAGUUUCUGCUUUCAUGUUAUUUUACUAACUCUAAUGUCCCUGUUCCCUCCUGGCUGGCCAUCACCCCACUCCCCUCACCUGGUUAUCCCCAUCUAUCUGAGUCAUGCUUCUGGUUUCACAUCUGCCACUUUCUUGAUAAAUGUUACGUUCUUGCCAACACUUUCUGAAGAAACAUGUUAGUGUAGGAAAUUGU